rnacentral:ncRNA from 1 species
AUCCCCGCGAAUGUAUCGGGUGCUCGAGAGAGCUUAAUCGGGAAGUCCGGGCCGGCGUCGAAAGGCGCCCAAGCCGGCACUGCUCCCGCAACUGUAACUGGUGAGCGCAUCGCCACAAUGCCAUUGGGGGCUCUUCCCCGAGAAGGCGGCGACUAGCGCGUUUGAUCCGGAAAGUCAGGAAACCGGCCCGAUGCCGUCGUUCCUCU